UGGACAAUGGGCGCAAGCCUGAUCCAGCCAUGCCGCGUGAGUGAUGAAGGCCCUAGGGUUGUAAAGCUCUUUCACCGGUGACGAUAAUGACGGUAACCGGAGAAGAAGCCCCGGCUAACUUCGUGCCAGCAGCCGCGGUAAUACGAUGGGGGCUAGCGUUGUUCGGAAUUACUGGGCGUAAAGCGCACGUAGGCGGAUCGUUCAGUUAGGGGUGAAAUCCCGGGGCUCAACCCCGGAACUGCCUCUAAUACGGUCGAUCUGGAGUUCGAGAGAGGGGAGUGGAAUUCCGAGUGUAGGGGUGAAAUUCGUAGAUAUUCGGAGGAACACCAGUGGCGAAGGCGGCUCACUGGCUCGAUACUGACGCUGAGGUGCGAAAGCGUGGG
rnacentral:rRNA from 1 species